UUUUAUUCAUCGAACAAGCAGAAACAGUUUUUUAAAGCUCAGCAAACUUUAAUUUUUUAAUGCCAUAAAAGAUUUUUUCGUUCGAAUCGGAUGAAUAAAAU
rnacentral:tRNA from 1 species